AAUCACUGUGGAUGGGCCUAUCCUCCCUGAACAGAUCUAAUUCUCUUUUAAAGCCAGUUAUACUUUUGGCCUUCACAUCCUCCCCUGGCAACGAGUUGCAGAGGUUGACUGUGUUGUGUGAAGAAGUACAUCCUUUUGUUUUAAACCUGCUGCCUAUUCAUUUCUUUGGGUGACC